rnacentral:lncRNA from 1 species
UAAAAAUGUCUCUCCUUGCCUAUGCUCUCCAGUAGAGUAUCACUUUUUCUUGUAAGAAAUUAAUUUUACACUAUGGUAUACUUUCAGAUGUGGACCUCAACCCCCUGACAAGUGUAGGUAUUAUCAGGACCGUGUGCUGACUUUCUCUGGGGUAUUGUGCUGCUGAGCACAGUAACAAGAGGCAACGUGUGGCUCUGAGCUGAGCAUGAAGAUUGUUGUGAGAAUACCUGACAGCUUUUGAAAAGUAUAAAUAGAGACAACGGAGAGGAAAUAAGUGCCUGUCUUGUACUUCUGCUGGAUAUACUGGGCUCCUAGCCAACUUCUAAAUUGAAGCCAAUGGCAUUGCAUAGGGCAUAAGCCAGUGCAGACUUUAUUCUUGCAAUUUUCUACAAAUUGCAGGGUCUUACUAUCACAACAGGUGGCUGUUCAAACCCUGUUGGGGAGGCUGCAGAGAGUACUUGAAAGUGAAGGUGGAUCAGACUGCUGAAUGCCGCGCAGUUUUCAUUUGACCACCCUCUGCACGUGUUACGAAACAGCUUGUGAUCACAUGGCUUUUUGCUUGUAAAACCAGCACAUCAUUUUUGCAAACA